UACGAAGGGGGCUAGCGUUGCUCGGAAUCACUGGGCGUAAAGCGCACGUAGGCGGCUUUCUAAGUCAGGGGUGAAAUCCUGGAGCUCAACUCCAGAACUGCCUUUGAUACUGGGGAUCUCGAGUCCGGAAGAGGUGAGUGGAACUGCGAGUGUAGAGGUGAAAUUCGUAGAUAUUCGCAAGAACACCAGUGGCGAAGGUGGCUCACUGGUCCGGUACUGACGCUGAGGUGCGAAAGCGUGGGGAGCAAACAGGG
rnacentral:rRNA from 1 species